rnacentral:rRNA from 1 species
GACGAACGCUGGCGGCGUGCCUAACACAUGCAAGUCGAGCGAUGAAACCCUUCGGGGUGGAUUAGCGGCGGACGGGUGAGUAACACGUGGGUAACCUGCCUCAAAGAGGGGGAUAGCCUCCCGAAAGGGAGAUUAAUACCGCAUAACAUUAGUUUUUCGCAUGGAGAACUAAUUAAAGGAGUAAUCCGCUUUGAGAUGGACCCGCGGCGCAUUAGCUAGUUGGUGAGGUAAAGGCUCACCAAGGCGACGAUGCGUAGCCGACCUGAGAGGGUGAGCGGCCACAUUGGAACUGAGACACGGUCCAGACUCCUACGGGAGGCAGCAGUGGGGAAUAUUGCACAAUGGGCGAAAGCCUGAUGCAGCAACGCCGCGUGAGUGACGAAGGCCUUCGGGUUGUAAAGCUCUGUCUUUUGGGACGAUAAUGACGGUACCAAAGGAGGAAGCCACGGCUAACUACGUGCCAGCCGCCGCGGUAACAC